GUGUCCUUUGGGGAAGGGGGAGGGGAGAAGGGUGAAAGAAUUACUUCCAGGGCACAUCAACUCGUUUCCUCAUCACCCUAACCGACUCUCACUUCCCAGCCCCUCCACAGGCUGCCAACGCUCCCACCGCCGAGCCCACAGGGUGAACGUGUUUGUGCACAGCGACAGACUUCUUCUGUGAGGAUCCUAUAAAGCAAACAGAAACUGGACAAGAAUAGAUGAUAGAGAAACAGAAGGUCUGAAGAUGGAUGAGCCCUGUAGACCAUGCAGGAAAAGCCCUCACAUGCACAGCAGCAGCCACCACUCCCUUGCAUGUUUCUGGCUACCACACACCUAAUCAGUCCUGAUUAGAUGCACUGUGAGGGACGAGGAAGCCAGAAGGUUCCUUUGAGAAGUUCUGAUGACAGGACAGAAGAAAGCAAUGGGCUCCCUUAAAUAAAGUCUUCAUCAGGCUCUGGGAAGAAACAUGUGGCUCUGUUUAUGGCAGGGUAUACCACUGUUCUGCUCUCCAACUGAUCUUGCAGUGUCAUCUUGAUUUACCUCCUUCCUUUAGCACGCUUUACUUCACAGCUAUUACUUUAACACCGUCAGCUUCAUAUAGACGCACGCUCAAGCUCCUCUGUAAGUACACAUGCACCUCUAAACUUAACAUAUUGUGGCAAGCACUCGCACACCCAUCUACACAAACCAAAGAGAUCCAAAAUCAGCAUCAGCAAUCACAAUAGCAAUUAGUAAGGGGGACAAUUUGUUCACAUCUGGAGUGGAUUUGCUUGCCACCAGAAUACCCAGCAAUCUCUUCUUUCAGGGUCUGGCACAGUGGGAAAUGACUAUGUGUGUUUUUAUGUGUUUUGUUUAAAACAGAUGGGCGGUUUACAUUAGUGGAGAUGGGCGAUAAACAGCUCAGGAGGGAUGGCGGGGAACCACCAGGACAUCAUUGUCCCGUCCAGCUACACAGACAUGGUAGAGCAUGAUUUUCUCACCCAGUCUUGUUUGAGGUCUCCACUUCAUCAGACAUCACCUAGACACAGAGCUGGAUGAGGCCAGGACAAACAG